GCGUCAAUCACUGACAAGCUGCCGGUGCUAUUAUAGAGAAAUCUAUGGUGCUACUGCAGCGCACCUGGAACAACCGAACAACGGUCCCACAAAUGCAAUGAGCCUAGCUGAAAGCAUCACUGCCAAAACGACACGCUAUGCUCUUCCGAAGGUCGUUGGUCAGGUCGAGGUUGGCAUGCAGUGCAGCUUGCCUCUGGCCGACAAAUCUGUCGGGUGCUCCUUCAAAGCACGGAGCGUCUCAAAGAGCAUGCAGACUACGGAGACCCUGGAUCAUCUAAGCUUCACCUCAGCAUCGAGGCCUUCUAUUUCUCCAUCAACUGCCAAAUGUGACAACUCAAAGCAAGGAUGCCUCCACCGAUAUCAGUUAUGUGACUACGAGACUGAUAAACUGUCUCAUCUGGAAACACAUGCCAAUGUCCAUACGGGCGAGAAGCCAUUUCAUUGCCCUUUAUGCCCUCAGAGCUUUUCACAAGAAGUCCAUCAGAAAAGUUACCUAUGC